rnacentral:rRNA from 1 species
CCUACGGGAGGCAGCAGUAAGGAAUAUUGGUCAAUGGACGCAAGUCUGAACCAGCCAUGCCGCGUGAAGGAUUAAGGCCCUCUGGGUUGUAAACUUCUUUUAUAGGGGACGAAAAAAGGGCAUUCUUGCUCACUUGACGGUACCCUAGGAAUAAGCACCGGCUAACUCCGUGCCAGCAGCCGCGGUAAUACGGAGGGUGCAAGCGUUAUCCGGAUUUACUGGGUUUAAAGGGUGCGUAGGUGGGUUGGUAAGUCAGUGGUGAAAUCUUCGAGCUUAACUCGGAAACUGCCAUUGAUACUAUCAAUCUUGAAUCAUCUAGAGGUAAGCGGAAUAUGUCAUGUAGCGGUGAAAUGCUUAGAUAUGACAUAGAACACCAAUUGCGAAGGCAGCUUACUAUGGAUGCAUUGACACUGAGGCACGAAAGCGUGGGGAUCAAACAGGAUUAGAUACCCUGGUAGUCCACGACCUAACGAUAGAUACUACGACAUUGUGUAUAUACAAUAAGUAGUCGUGAGAGAGAUAGUAAGUACUACCGACCGACGGUAACGGUACGACCGACGUUAGUAAGUUAACGUUAACGAAGAAGUUAGACGGCGUUGAGACGNGCGACGGACGACGACGAGGGAGGAGG